rnacentral:tRNA from 1 species
UAAAAAGGUAAGCUAAAUUUAAGCUAAUGGGUUCAUACCCCUUCUAUAAAGGUUAUACUCCUUUCCUUUUU